CCUGCAUGAAGUCGGAAUUGCUAGUAAUCGCGGAUCAGCAUGCCGCGGUGAAUACGUUCCCGGGCCUUGUACACACCGCCCGUCACACCAUGGGAGCCGGUAAUACCCGAAGUCAGUAGCUUAACCUCGUGAGAGCGCUGCCGAAGGUAGGAUUGGCGACUGGGGUGAAGUCGUAACAAGGUAGCCGUAUCGGAAGGUGCGGCUGGAUCACCUCCUUU
rnacentral:rRNA from 1 species